UACGUAGGGUGCAAGCGUUGUCCGGAAUCAUUGGGCGUAAAGCGCGCGUAGGUGGCUUCGUAAGUCCGUUGUGAAAGUCAAAGGCUCAACCUUUGAUGCCGAUGGAUACUGCGAAGCUAGAGUACGGAAGAGGCGAGUGGAAUUCCUGGUGUAGCGGUGGAAUGCGCAGAUAUCAGGAGGAACACCAAUAGCGAAGGCAGCUUGCUGGGACGAUACUGACGCUAAGGCUCGAAAGCGUGGGGAGCAAACAGGG
rnacentral:rRNA from 1 species